AGUCUAUGAGGAAGUUUAGCUUGCUAAAUGGACUCAUGGCGGACGGGUGAGUAACGCGUAAAGAACUUGCCCUUUAGACUGGGAUAACAGAGGGAAACUUCUGAUAAUACUGGAUAAGUUAGUAUAUCGCAUGAUAUGCAAAUGAAAGCUACGGCACUAAAGGAGAGCUUUGCGUCCUAUUAGCUAGUUGGUAAGGUAAGAGCUUACCAAGGCGAUGAUAGGUAGCCGGCCUGAGAGGGUGGACGGCCACAAGGGGACUGAGAUACGGCCCUUACUCCUACGGGAGGCAGCAGUGGGGAAUAUUGGACAAUGGAGGAAACUCUGAUCCAGCAAUUCUGUGUGUGUGAAGAAGGUUUUAAGACUGUAAAACACUUUUAGUAGGGAAGAAAAAAAUGACGGUACCUACAGAAGAAGCAACGGCUAAAUACGUGCCAGCAGCCGCGGUAAUACGUAUGUUGCGAGCGUUAUCCGGAAUUAUUGGGCUUAAAGGGCAUCUAGGCGGUAAGACAAGUUGAAGGUGAAAACCUGUGGCUCAACCAUAGGCUUGCCUACAAAACUGUUGAACUAGAGUACUGGAGAGGUGGGUGGAACUACACGAGUAGAGGUGAAAUUCGUAGAUAUGUGUAGGAAUGCCGAUGAUGAAGAUAACUCACUGGACAGAAACUGACGCUGAAGUGCGAAAGCUAGGGGAGCAAACAGGAUUAGAUACCCUGGUAGUCCUAGCUGUAAACGAUGAUCACUGGGUGUGGGGAUGCGAAGUCUCUGUGCCGAAGCAAAAGCNAUAAGUGAUCC
rnacentral:rRNA from 1 species